rnacentral:rRNA from 1 species
GUGUGACUGCGUACCUUUUGUAUAAUGGGUCAGCGACUUAUAUUCUGUAGCAAGGUUAACCGAAUAGGGGAGCCGAAGGGAAACCGAGUCUUAACUGGGCGUUAAGUUGCAGGGUAUAGACCCGAAACCCGGUGAUCUAGCCAUGGGCAGGUUGAAGGUUGGGUAACACUAACUGGAGGACCGAACCGACUAAUGUUGAAAAAUUAGCGGAUGACUUGUGGCUGGGGGUGAAAGGCCAAUCAAACCGGGAGAUAGCUGGUUCUCCCCGAAAGCUAUUUAGGUAGCGCCUCGUGAAUUCAUCUCCGGGGGUAGAGCACUGUUUCGGCAAGGGGGUCAUCCCGACUUACCAACCCGAUGCAAACUGCGAAUACCGGAGAAUGUUAUCACGGGAGACACACGGCGGGUGCUAACGUCCGUCGUGAAGAGGGAAACAACCCAGACCGCCAGCUAAGGUCCCAAAGUCAUGGUUAAGUGGGAAACGAUGUGGGAAGGCCCAGACAGCCAGGAUGUUGGCUUAGAAGCAGCCAUCAUUUAAAGAAAGCGUAAUAGCUCACUGGUCGAGUCGGCCUGCGCGGAAGAUGUAACGGGGCUAAACCAUGCACCGAAGCUGCGGCAGCGACACUAUGUGUUGUUGGGUAGGGGAGCGUUCUGUAAGCCUGUGAAGGUGGCCUGUGAGGGUUGCUGGAGGUAUCAGAAGUGCGAAUGCUGACAUAAGUAACGAUAAAGCGGGUGAAAAGCCCGCUCGCCGGAAGACCAAGGGUUCCUGUCCAACGUUAAUCGGGGCAGGGUGAGUCGACCCCUAAGGCGAGGCCGAAAGGCGUAGUCGAUGGGAAACAGGUUAAUAUUCCUGUACUUGGUGUUACUGCGAAGGGGGGACGGAGAAGGCUAUGUUGGCCGGGCGACGGUUGUCCCGGUUUAAGCGUGUAGGCUGGUUUUCCAGGCAAAUCCGGAAAAUCAAGGCUGAGGCGUGAUGACGAGGCACUACGGUGCUGAAGCAACAAAUGCCCUGCUUCCAGGAAAAGCCUCUAAGCAUCAGGUAACAUCAAAUCGUACCCCAAACCGACACAGGUGGUCAGGUAGAGAAUACCAAGGCGCUUGAGAGAACUCGGGUGAAGGAACUAGGCAAAAUGGUGCCGUAACUUCGGGAGAAGGCACGCUGAUAUGUAGGUGAAG